rnacentral:rRNA from 1 species
GCAGUCGGACGAGAGUUUUUAACUCUAGUGGCGGACGGGUGAGUAACACGUGAGAAUUUACCCUUUAGGAGGGGGAUAACAAUUGGAAACGAAUGCUNAUACCCCAUAUGCUUUCGAGUGAAAUGGAUUUAUAUUUAUUCGCCUAAAGAGAAGCUCGCGGCUGAUUAGCUUGUUGGUAAGGUAAGAGCUCACCAAGGCGACGAUCAGUAUCUGGUUUGAGAGGACGAUCAGACACACUGGAACUGAGACACGGUCCAGACUCCUACGGGAGGCAGCAGUGGGGAAUUUUCCGCAAUGGGCGAAAGCCUGACGGAGCAAUACCGCGUGAGGGAAGACUGCCUAUGGGUUGUAAACCUCUUUUUUCAGGGAGGAAUAAAUGACGUGUACCUGAAGAGUAAGCAUCGGCUAACUCCGUGCCAGCAGCCGCGGUAAGACGGAGGAUGCAAGUGUUAUCCGGAAUCACUGGGCGUAAAGCGUCUGUAGGUGGUUUAAUAAGUCAACUGUUAAAUCUUGAGGCUCAACUUCAAAAUCGCAGUCGAAACUAUUAGUCUAGAGUAUAGUAGAGGUAAAGGGAAUUUCCAGUGGAGCGGUGAAAUGCGUAGAUAUUGGAAAGAACACCGAUGGCGAAAGCACUUUACUGGGCUAUUACUAACACUCAGAGACGAAAGCUAGGGUAGCAAAUGGGAUUAGAUACCCCAGUAGUUCCUA